AAGCUGGGAGCGGAGCAGCCUGGACAGCAGAAGAUUAAUUCAGGCUCCAAAUGAGGCUUCACACGCGAUGUGUUGCACCAUACAUCACUGCCACGUGGACACCGGGGCGUAGGGCUCCGAGUUCACUUGUUGGCUCCGGGAUGUGCUUCCUCCACACUGGACAUGCCGCACGAUUGCUCCUCUGCUAUGAUCCGGUGCAGAGCGCCGGAAUACCAAUGGCUUUGGAGUCAGCAAGAGGUGUGUGGCUGCCAGAGAGAUACCAGCUGGCUUUACAGCGGGAUGUCUGGGUGGAGAGCUUGGAGAAAUGAAG
ensembl:lncRNA